UACGGGGGGGGCAAGCGUUGUUCGGAAUUACUGGGCGUAAAGGGCUCGUAGGUGGCCAACUAAGUCAGACGUGAAAUCCCUCAGCUUAACUGGGGAACUGCGUCUGAUACUGGAUGGCUUGAGUUUGGGAGAGGGAUGCGGAAUUCCAGGUGUAGCGGUGAAAUGCGUAGAGAUCCGGAGGAACACCGAAAGCGAAGGCAGGGUCCUGGCUGGUACCUGACGCUCGUGGGCGAAAGCUAGGGGAGCGAACGGG
rnacentral:rRNA from 1 species